rnacentral:lncRNA from 1 species
AUUGUGAUCUCUACCAUGAAAUUCUUGUCUCUGUUUGUGUGUCUUUUAAUCGCGCUAAUCGCAGUUAAGGCAGAUCCUUUAUCGCCGUCUUUUCAAAAAUGCCUGGAUGAAAUAAGUGAUGCGGAAUUGUGUGAAAAUUUCAAAGAUCAAUUCCCGGAAGAUGCACCUGCUGUUCCUCUCGAUGAAUUUACCUUCGAGGCGUAUUCUGGAUAAUUUAACUUCACUUUCGUUGAGUAAUUCCGACGAACGCGAAUUAAGCUGAAUAAUUUAUUGUGCACUAUUGCUUUAUAAGUUAAGCAAAUAAACAAAUUUGUUUUGAUGUAAUAUUUGAUUGGUUUCCAUCGAUUUGUGUUUUGACAAGAAAUUAAUCAGUCGCCUUAGAUUUGGCUAUAAAAAGCUUUUGUAAGCUAAACUAAAAUCAACAUUAGCACAUAAAAGUGUACUUAUCACCACUAAUUAGUUGAAAAUAAUGUAUAUAGGUAAAGAAACAACCCAUACCAAUUAAAUUAAAACUGGCUGCGGCAGUUAAUGCUGCCAUGUAUAAGAAAAUAAAAUGUGAAAACUCAGCAACGAUUGUCCACUG